UAGGGAAUCUUCCGCAAUGGGCGAAAGCCUGACGGAGCAACGCCGCGUGAGUGAUGAAGGUCUUCGGAUCGUAAAACUCUGUUAUUAGGGAAGAACAAAUGUGUAAGUAACUAUGCACGUCUUGACGGUACCUAUCAGAAAGCCACGGCUAACUACGUGCCAGCAGCCGCGGUAAUACGUAGGUGGCAAGCGUUAUCCGGAAUUAUUGGGCGUAAAGCGCGCGUAGGCGGUUUUUUAAGUCUGAUGUGAAAGCCCACGGCUCAACCGUGGAGGGUCAUUGGAAACUGGAAAACUUGAGUGCAGAAGAGGAAAGUGGAAUUCCAUGUGUAGCGGUGAAAUGCGCAGAGAUAUGGAGGAACACCAGUGGCGAAGGCGACUUUCUGGUCUGUAACUGACGCUGAUGUGCGAAAGCGUGGGGAUCAAACAGG
rnacentral:rRNA from 1 species